rnacentral:rRNA from 1 species
ACCCGUCAUCACAACCCCCACUUUACAAGGUUGACCUCGGAUCAGGUAGGGAUACCCGCUGAACUUAAGCAUAUCAAUAAGCGGAGGAAAAGAAACCAACAGGGAUUGCCUCAGUAACGGCGAGUGAAGCGGCAAAAGCUCAAAUUUGAAAGCUGGCUCCUUCGGGGUCCGCGUUGUAAUUUGUAGAGGAUGCUUCGGGCGCGGCUCCGGUCUAAGUUCUCUGGAACGAGACGUCAUAGAGGGUGAGAAUCCCGUAUGUGACCGGCUGCCUGUGCCCAUGUGAAGCUCCUUCGACGAGUCGAGUUGUUUGGGAAUGCAGCUCAAAAUGGGAGGUGUACUCCUUCUAAAGCUAAAUAUUGGCCAGAGACCGAUAGCGCACAAGUAGAGUGAUCGAAAGAUGAAAAGCACUUUGGAAAGAGAGUUAAACAGUACGUGAAAUUGUUGAAAGGGAAGCGCUUGCAAUCAGACUUGCGCGGCGUCGAUCAACCUGGGUUCUCCCUGGUGCACUCGGCGCCGCUCAGGCCAGCAUCAGUUUCGGCGGUGGGAUAAAGGCUGAGGGAACGUGGGUCACCUCGGUGACCGUUAUAGCCCUCGGUGCAAUGCCGCCUGCCGGGACUGAGGACCGC